AGUGAACGCUGGCGGUAGGCCUAACACAUGCAAGUCGAACGGCAGCACAGUAAGAGCUUGCUCUUACGGGUGGCGAGUGGCGGACGGGUGAGGAAUACAUCGGAAUCUACUUUUUCGUGGGGGAUAACGUAGGAAAACUUACGCUAAUACCGCAUACGACCUACGGGUGAAAGCAGCGGAUCUUCGGACCUUGCGCGAUUGAAUGAGCCGAUGUCGGAUUAGCUAGUUGGCGGGGUAAAGGCCCACCAAGGCGACGAUCCGUAGCUGGUCUGAGAGGAUGACCAGCCACACUGGAACUGAGACACGGUCCAGACUCCUACGGGAGGCAGCAGUGGGGAAUAUUGGACAAUGGGCGCAAGCCUGAUCCAGCCAUACCGCGUGGGUGAAGAAGGCCUUCGGGUUGUAAAGCCCUUUUGUUGGGAAAGAAAAGCAGCAGGUUAAUACCCCGCUGUUCUGACGGUACCCAAAGAAUAAGCACCGGCUAACUUCGUG
rnacentral:rRNA from 1 species